ensembl:snoRNA SNORD115 Small nucleolar RNA SNORD115
GGGUUAAUGAUGUGAACUCAUAUGGUUAAGAGAAAUGAUGGCCUAAAAAUCAUGUUCAAUAGGAUUACGCUGAGGCCC